GGCCGUGUGGCGAAAUGGCAUCGCGUCUGACUACGAUUCAAUGCGACAUCAGGAGAUUGCAGGUUCGACCCCUGUCUCGGUCA
rnacentral:tRNA from 1 species